AGCCGCCACCAGGACAAGCAGAAUGUGAAGAUGCCGUUCUCUCUCCUACAGCUCACCACCGUUUAGACGGCUGGCCAGCGAGCUCAGGGGUGCUCCUGUGUUUACCUCCGCAGAGGUCUCACUACAUAAACAGAACAGCCUUGAUCUGUGGUCAUCUCGGCUCAGGCUUCUAAGUGCUGGGAUUACAAGUGUUCACCCACCACCAAAGCCUGCUCAAGCAUCCAGACUUAACACAGCCAUGUGAUGCCACCACCAAGAUAAGUGCUGGGAUUAUAAAUGUGUGCCACCACAUCCUGCUCAAGCGUCCAGACCUAACACAGCCACCUGAAGCCACCACACAGGUGGCUCUGCUUUUUCAGUCUUCUUUUUAUUGUUCCAAUAAAUGGCUUUUCUCUGUCCCCCUUCAUUGGUGACUUCAAUAAAUAUUACAGUAUAUGCUCUUCUA